ACCUAUCUGAUGAGUCCGAAAUAGGACAAAAUUUGAGUCUUGGAU
rnacentral:hammerhead_ribozyme from 1 species